GACGAACGCUGGCGGCGUGCUUAACACAUGCAAGUCGAACGAGAGCGGAGGGAGCUUUCCUCUAAUCAUCCUAGUGGCCAAAGGGGGGGUUACGGGGAAUCCACCUUCCCCUUCAAGGGGGACCAACAGUGGAAAAGAACUCCUAAUCCGCAUUCCAUCUUAACCUGGCCACGGGGAAUAGAGAAAGGUGGGCCUCUACAUUAAGCCAACAACUAAGGGGGGGAAUUGCGUCUGAUUAGCUAGUUGGAGGGGUAACGGCCCACCAAGGCGAUGAUCAGUAGCCGGUCUGAGAGGAUGAACGGCCACAUUGGGACUGAGACACGGCCCAGACUCCUACGGGAGGCAGCAGUGGGGAAUCUUCCGCAAUGGACGAAAGUCUGACGGAGCAACGCCGCGUGAGUGAUGACGGCCUUCGGGUUGUAAAGCUCUGUUAAUCGGGACGAAAGGCCUUCUUGCGAAUAGUGAGAAGGAUUGACGGUACCGGAAUAGAAAGCCACGGCUAACUACGUG
rnacentral:rRNA from 1 species